GUUGGCUACGGCGACAUGACUCCUAAAACUUUCCCCGGCAUGUUUAUCGGCGGCCUCUGUGCACUUGCCGGUGUACUCACUAUAGCCCUGCCCGUUCCUGUCAUCGUCAGCAAC
rfam:Nasonia vitripennis chromosome 5 unlocalized genomic scaffold Chr5_random003, whole genome shotgun sequence.